GACGAACGCUGGCGGCGUGCUUAACACAUGCCAGUCGAACGGAAAGGCCCUGCUUUUGUGGGGUGCUCGAGUGGCGAACGGGUGAGUAACACGUGAGUAACCUGCCCUUGACUUUGGGAUAACUUCAGGAAACUGGGGCUAAUACCGGAUAGGAGCUCCUGCUGCAUGGUGGGGGUUGGAAAGUUUCGGCGGUUGGGGAUGGACUCGCGGCUUAUCAGCUUGUUGGUGGGGUAGUGGCUUACCAAGGCUUUGACGGGUAGCCGGCCUGAGAGGGUGACCGGCCACAUUGGGACUGAGAUACGGCCGAGACUGCUACGGGAGGCAGCAGUGGGGAAUAUUGCACAAUGGGCGGAAGCCUGAUGCAGCAACGCCGCGUGCGGGAUGACGGCCUUCGGGUUGUAAACCGCUUUCGCCUGUGACGAAGCGUGAGUGACGGUAAUGGGUAAAGAAGCACCGGCUAACUACGUG
rnacentral:rRNA from 1 species